UACGGAGGGAGCUAGCGUUGUUCGGAAUUACUGGGCGUAAAGCGCACGUAGGCGGCUACUCAAGUCGGGGGUGAAAGCCCGGGGCUCAACCCCGGAACUGCCCUCGAAACUAGGUGGCUAGAAUCUUGGAGAGGUCAGUGGAAUUCCGAGUGUAGAGGUGAAAUUCGUAGAUAUUGGGAAGAAACACCGGUGGCGAAGGCGGCGACCUGGUCCGUGACUGACGCUGAGGCGCGAAAGCGUGGGGAGCAAACAGG
rnacentral:rRNA from 1 species